rnacentral:rRNA from 1 species
AUUGAACGCUGGCGGCAGGCCUAACACAUGCAAGUCGAGCGAGCGGCGGACGGGUGAGUAAUGUAUGGGGACUGCCCGAUAGAGGGGGAUAACUACUGGAAACGGUGGCUAAUACCGCAUACUAUCGGAUAACCCAACGUGGAUUAGCUAGUAGGUGGGGUAAAGGCUCACCUAGGCGACGAUCUCUAGCUGGGCUGAGAGGAUGAUCGGCCACACUGGUACGGAGACACGGCCCAGACUCCUACGGAGGCAGCAGUGGGGAAUAUUGCAAAAUGGGCGAAAGCCUGAUGCAGCAAUGCCGCGUGAAUGAAGAAGGCCUUCGGGUUGUAAAGUUCUGUCGUUAGCGAGGCGUUAACUACAGAGGAAGCACCGGCUAACUCCGUGCCAGCAGCCGCGGUAAUUC